AUUAUAGCAUCUGUGCUCGUGUAAGGUACAGAUGCUACUAUGCUCAUCACUAUCACUACUAUUUCUACUACCAUCAUGGGUACCGCUGCGCUCGCUACUGGCGUACCUACCGCUGCAGGCGAUGCCAGCACUACUGAGAAGCAGCAGCGCCCAGGGAUCACAGUGCUGGAGUUUACCUGACAGCAGACCUGCAAGCAAAGCUUAAACACACCAGCAACCUUCUUUUAUAGCAUCACUGUAACCUUUCUGUUCUGGUCCCUCUCCCCACACACAGCUACAGACCCAUACUUAUUUCUAUCAGGCCAUUCACAGCUUGUUUAAAACAGCUGCUCCCUGUUGUGCAUUUGGUCAAUCUCUUGAAGGAUAUAUAAUAGAGACAACAUUAUUUUUUCUAUUGGGUGAUUCCCUGCCUCUCAUGAAGCAGGUUUUUACAUUGUAUGGAAAGGUGUCCUUAUUUAACAUGUAGUCUCAGAUUCUCAGUGAGAUCACAUGCUCACACAUGUUUGAAUAGAAAUACAACUCCACAUGGGCACAUAUACAAAGCGUUACUUGGAUAGCGUGCUUGAUUGAUUUGCCCCAGCUCAUAAUCACUGCACCGAGUCAGGUUUGACCAGUAGACUCCUUUCUUCUCCCAGCUCCUCACAGCCACCCUGUGAUGUCACAAGUGACCUGUGACAGGCCUUGUUCACAGACUGACAACAAAUUUGUUUUUAUAUAGAGAUUUUCUUCAUCUCUCAAUUAUUUUAAAAUCUCUUUAUUUGCAUUCAUGACAACAAAUGCUCAAACUGUUGACCAGUAUAAAUGCUGUCCUGCCAAAACAACACUAUCUGCUGUUACAUGAAACUGGGUAAAAGCCUGUCUCUUUCUGUAAAGCUUUUUAAGCAAUACAACUAUUAGCAUCAAUGUCUCGUUUUGGACUGGUUUAUUUCACAUGACAUGUAUUCUUGUCAUACUGCCACCACUGAAAUCACUCAAAAAGCACUCUUUAUUGACAACAAAGAACUCUUAACAGUGCCAGGGAGGAUUCAUGUAUUUCCUCUUUCUUCUGCAUUGCAUAUUUAGUAAAGGAGAAAGUGCCUGAUUGUUUCUAUAAUGUCAUCUGUUUAGCCGUUCAGAAGCAUGCUGCUCUUUCCCAGGCAAUUGUUACUUGCAUAUUGUGGGUAAACCAAGAGGCAUGAUGAGAUGCUGGAGGCGUUA